GUUUCUCAUUGCACUUCAUGGUAAAGGCCUUCAGGAAAAGAAAUUACAAGAAUCAAGUCUGACCACUGUUUAUCAAAACUUCUAAGUCAUAGUUUCUUUCCCAGUACCCUAUGACUCAGGUUAUAUAUAUAUUCUAUGCUGAAGGAUGUUAACCUUUAAUCAAUCUGUUUUUUGAACACAUACAAGAAUACCUUGCAUUAUUUUCCUUUCACUUGUUUUGAAGAACCUCUUGCCUUUCCUCUUUCACCUCUUUGAUCUAAUGUGAUUUCUAGCACAGUUCUUAAACUCAAUAACUCAGCAUUAGAUUACUUAUACUUUUUCAUCCUUUCUUUAUCCUAGGUUUGUUGUUGUUGUUGUAGUUGUUUGUUUUGUUUUUGCUAGACUCCACACAUGCACUGCAGAAUGGUUUUGAUGCACCUGCAUUUUAAAACAACAUUGUAUAUCUUUGCAAACUUUGUGGAAGUGUAUGAUUGGGAUUCUGGAGAUAAAAUCAUCAGCGAUUCUAGCUUGGGGCCAAACAUGAUUCUAAAAAACAACUCUGGCUUGAUGAUGGAUAUAUGGUACUGAUGUCCAAAAUGAAAUAAACUAUACUAUGCAUAUAAUGUGCAUAUUAGUUUAUUACCCUCUAUUAUUCAAACAUUUCUAACUAUCCUGCAAAAGGCUGGUACUGAAGUUUAUUAUGUGACAGAAAACCUACAACUGUCUUGACAGUAGAAAAAAAAGAAUGAAUCUGCCUCUAAUUAGGCAUCAGUAACAAAACUUAAGCUUAGGAGGUAUGUUGUCUAAUUACUUCUAAGUAUAAAUAAAAGAGUUUUGUACAUGAACAUAUUUUAGUGUGCCUUUUAAUCAAUG
ensembl:lncRNA